AUCAAAUUUUGAUUAUUUUUCUAUGAAAACGGAUUAUACUUCCGAUCUAUUUAUUGAUUGCAACUUGGUGGCAGCGAGGGUCAGCGGCGAGAUAAUACAUCGUCAUAUUUUACCUAGGGUUCCAUGUUAUGAUUGUUCUCAUGCGCGAUUCUUCUAAGCGGUUCUCAAGUCCCUAGCGUAUGGAGUGGUGAAGGAGUGGAAGCAACACUUGAUUUGCCUUACUUUCCAGUGGCUAUCCUACGUUGCUCUUCAUUGAGUAGAACUCUGGUAUUUCAGGUAUUUCGAUGUACUUGCAGGAGGUGGAGUAUUUUGACAAGUUGCAGUAGAUGGUUCCAAGUCUUC